GACAUACCAAUGUGUCAGCAAUCAUUCCUCAGCUAGACAAACCAAUGUACAGCAUAGUGGCAGCUGUGAAGGACCCCAAAAUCUUGAAAAGUCAGUUUUAAAGAAGGUUGCAACUCUGACCGGAAAAGCGGUGCCAGAAUUGCAGGACUCAGUAAGGCACAGUUGAAGGAUUCCAAAGCUGCUCUACUGAUGAAGUGGAGGCAGGAGGAGGUGGAAAAUCGACAGUUCGAGUCACUCAGAGCUGCACCACAGCACGUGGUGGUCUAUGAAGCAAACCCAGCAACAGAGCCAGAGAACCAAGCCAUUUUCGUGGAACUGGUGAGCAACCCUUGAAAAGAAAAGAAUAACCGAAAUUGCAGAUUUAGAAAACAUUGAGGAACCCCAGUCAGUGAAUAUUCCCACGCCAGUGUCUUCAUCAGUUAUGAAUUACGCGUCUUUAAGUAUCAAAUCUGUGCACACCAUGUUUUAAAUACUGCACAGAAUAUUCAGAAAGAAGAAGCCCGAGAUGCCCGGCACAGAAUUGAGCCUGUAAAGAAUAAGUUGGAGCAGGCAAGAAAGGAAAUGGUUGAGCACCAGAAGAGAAUGGAUGUGGCUGAACAGUAGUGCAAAGAGAUAAAGGAGAAAGAUCGUUCACUAGCAGAAGAAGCUGACUCAAUAAAGGAAGAACAAAGUAAGAUAGACACAGAGGUCAAAAAAUAUAAACACCAUAAAAGACAUUCCGAAGAGGAAAGAAAUUGACAUUUGAAACUAGAGAAGAGGUUGGGAAAGAAAGAAAACAUUUUAAAGGAGUAACACAAUCGAAGGAUCGCUCUUUGCCGCUUCUUUGAAUUCAUCCAAUGUAAUCUGGUCAUCAUUGUUCUUAUCCA